AUGACGGCAGAAACAGAUAGAGUAACGCAGAAUAUAGUAGCUGAUUACGUCAACAAUACUCCUGAAACCACCAACUUGGUGAAGAUUAAGGACAAAAUGCUAAUGCAGAAGUAUCUUCAAUGCCUCACAACACCAGAUCCUUCAUCAUUUGCAGCGUGGGUGGAUGAUGGUGUAGGUUUUUCUACGCUACUGAGGAAAGCAGAGGAGGAUAAUCAGAUCCGAGGUAUCAAGCUAGCCCCAACAACACCAAGAGUGAAUCAUCUUUUGUUCGCCGACGAUUCCCUGCUGGUAAUGGAAGCAAAUGUCCAAGCUACACAAACAAUGAAUCAUGUCCUGCAAGUGUAUGAGGAGUGCUCGGGUCAAAUGAUCCAUAGAGAAAAAUCCUCAGUCAUGUUUAGCUCUAACGCUAGCCAGUCUUUCAAGAACUUGAUGUUGCGGGAGCUCCAGCUGGGUACAAUUGCAAAUGGUGGGAAAUACCUUGGUCUGCCAACUUACAUCGGUAAAUUAAAAAAAGAGUGUUUCAACUACAUUAAAGACAACAUCACGGGAAGACUGCAGGGUGGGUUGGAUUGA
rnacentral:rRNA from 1 species